AUCACACUCUGAAGGCUGGAUCUGAAGGCUAUGUGACAGGUGGUUGUACAGAUUUGGAUAUAUAGUAAUGCAAUUUCUGAUUCUGUGGCUGACAUGAUAUAGCAAGACUGAAUUAUUUUGUCUUGUUUCCAGUUUCUGACUACGGUGAAUAAUGUUUCUCAGGGACAUCCUUGUGUGGGCAUAUGGUGCUAUUUCUCUCCAGUAUCUUCUCCAGAGUAGGAUUGCUGUGUCACAUGGUCCCAUUUUUGCUGCCAACCCUGGAGUAUACCU